AAACGUCGAGUUUUUCCUAUUCGUCCUAUGACGUCUAGUUGUACCUGUCCCCACGUGGAUUUACCUCUCCGUUGGUCUUGGUAAACGUUGAGUUUUUCCCAUUACGUCCGCUGACGUAUGGUUGUAUCCCUUCCAGUCAUUCAUUAAUGUCUGGUUACCUCUCCGUUGGUCUUGGUAAACGUUGAGUUUUUCCUAGUUGUCCGUUGGCAUCUAGUUGUGUUUUCUUUUCCCAUUCAUCGUCGUUGCGAUGUCUGGAUGUGGCCGUACCCUUUGAAAAAAAAAAAACCAAAAAAAAAAACCCAGUAAUAAGUAUCAGAUCCCAGUGGACGUUUCCAUUAUUGGAUCCCUGCAUUGUGCAAAUUCUACGGUUCUUUGGUAUUCAAUCCCUGUUUACCCUGAAAGUCUGACAGCCGCUGCUAUCAUCCGUUCGGGUUCCCAGCUGAUUGAAUAGGGGCAGCUGUAGCACCUCAAAUUUGCACCUAUCAUUGUACAUACAUUCUC
rnacentral:lncRNA from 1 species